rnacentral:lncRNA from 8 species
AACACUCUGCAACUGUUGAUCGAGCAAACUGUCUGAUUUACAGGGUGGAGUUCCUUUUUGCCAGAUUGACGGCUGGAUAUGAAAGUUUACUUUACCUAAACAUAAAAUCAAGCUGAAUAGGAAUGCUGCACAAAUAUGUGAUCAUUCAUUAGACAUUUUCAUGACAGUAUUAACCCCUUGAGAUGCACCAUCUCAUAUUCAAGGAUUUUAGAAAUAUUUUUUAUGAAAUUUCAGCUUGCCCUUGGUAGGCGUAAAGAAACAACAUUUGUAUGUUUUACCUUCACAUGGACAAGUCUGUAACUGUCACUUUUCUUCAGUAAAGCAGAAAAAAAGAGCUCUCUGUUUGAAUUUAGGAUGUGUCUGUGACACAACAGUUGCACUGUAUUGAAUUGCUUUCAUCCCUUACUGUACUGCUCAAACUAUCCGUCCUCUGCGCAGCCAUGUUUGAACUGUGAAGAGAUUGUGAAACGGAACGAGGAGCGAUAAUGGUGAAUGGCCAAUAAAGUCCUCUCUCCUCCAUGGUAACGGCCCCGGCUGUAAACGGUGAUGGGGCAACACAGCUCAAAGGCUAUAUUUGUGUUCCCUGGCUGGAGAGAGAAAUGCCAGCCCAACCGUUUGCCCACCCACUUGUUCUUUCACCCGACAACAGUGCCUAUAGUGUCUCAUAAGCGUGACACAAUCCCUCUCUUAAUAUUUGUGUGUGUGUGAUGCCUCCAAUAAAACAAUAUUUGACAUCUGAGCUCAGCUGAGACUGAUCCUAGACAUUUUUCCUCGAGAACUUUUUUCAUUUUUUUUAUAACCCACCUUUUCAUUUUUUAUGACACCUGAUUUAUGCUUAGUGACAAGGUGUUAUGCGUACGUAUAUAUGUGAGGUAUUUAUUGAUGUUGAACGCAGAGUAAGAACAGUCCAUGCCCUGGCUGAAUCAACCAAUCACGCAGAAGAACUGAUUAUCUUAAUUUUCCCAGGUAUGCUGAUGACUGUGCUUUGGUAUUUUUAUUUUUGUAGGGUGUACUUUCGGUACAACGUGGUGUGGUGUUUAGGUGCUGAUCACCAUAUACUGGCUGGGUAGGAAGGCACAAAGUGAAACGUUCUAUAAUAGACCUAACCUAAACCUCAAGGCCUUCGAACGACUACUGGGCAUAGCAGCAAUUUCCAAGGUAAAUAUAUAACCUUACUGUACAUACUGUACGCUGUGCUAGGCUAGGCUAGGUUAACACUUUAUUCUUCUAUAGUUAUUCACUCUAUUAUACUCUAUAUAACCCAUUCUUUUUUAUGUUUGCCCCUUUUAGUAAUUAUAUUUCUAUGUGUACGGUAUUAGUAGCCUGGUCCCAGAUUUGUUUGUACUGUCUUGCCAAAGUGUUUAACCACAGGAGUUUGCAUGACGAAGACAGGCUACGGUAUUAGCAGUAUUCAAAGUAAAGCUGCCUCACUGUACUUCAGUGGGCUAGUUAAGUUUGGGGUCCAUCAAUUGAUAGACAUUCCAUUUUAAUUUGGUAAAUUCAGGAAGUGAAUUGAAAUUGCAAUUCAAGAAUGGAAAGGUGUCUUUUAGUUUCAAUUUGGAUUUUUCAACACUUUAAUUGGAAUUUCCUUCAUGAAACUGAAUUGAAUUGGAAUGGAUCUCAACCCUGACGUACCUGUACAUUGUUAUUCAAACUACAGUUUUUGUGUUGUGUGUUACCAUGUAAUGGUUUGAGUAAUCAGCAUAGCUACAGUAGGAAACAAAUCGUAUGAAUGAAAUCCUCUUUUACACUCACAGCCCAUCACAUCUCUAAAUCCUUCCUGCUAUUUUAGCUAUGUGUUGAGGAAGCCAGCCCAUUGGCCGAGGGGCUUCAGGCUCAGAAUACUUGACAGUCUGUACUAAAACCAUAGCAAAGUUAAGUCAUAACUGAUCCAAUCUCCUGACGCAGCUAUUUUAAUCUUGUUUACUUCAGAAGCCCAUAGGUCACUUGGUACAUGCAUAAAAGUGUGUUUUGGUGUGUGUGUCUGUCUUUUCACAUGCGUGUUUGUACGUGUCGUGACGUUGUUGACUUUUACAGUUUGGUUUGUUUGUAGUUAGAUUUACCAAGCACAUUCAAGCCCUACGAUUACAUUCAAUACCAUGGGAUUUUAUACGAUUAAAAACAGGCAAAAGUGAUGAUUCGUUAAAGUGAUGGUUAGUUACAACAUGUUCCAUGCGUUUAUCUGUUCCAGUCUGAGCUCAGUGAAGCGAUGUUAAGCCAAGCUCAGUAGGGAAUAGCAUAGAAUAGCAUAGAAUAGCAUUGUUUAGCCCUGGAUUCAAAGUCAAUUAUUGAUC